UCCUUGGUGGCUCAGAUGGUAAAGAAUCUGCCUGCAGUGCAGAAGACCCAGGUUCAAUCCCUGGGUCAGGAA
rnacentral:tRNA from 1 species